rnacentral:rRNA from 1 species
UACGGGGGGAGCAAGCGUUGUUCGGAUUUACUGGGCGUAAAGGGCGCGUAGGCGGCCAGCACAAGUCAGUUGUGAAAUCUCCGAGCUUAACUCGGAACGGUCAACUGAUACUGUGCGGCUAGAGUGCGGAAGGGGCAACUGGAAUUCUUGGUGUAGCGGUGGAAUACGUAGAUAUCCGGAGGAACACCAGCGGCGAAGGCGGCUUUCUGGUCCGAUACUGACGCUGAGACGCGAAAGCGUGGGGAGCGAUCCGG